UCGAGGGGUAUUGUUCUUCGGAAUGAGAGACCGGCACACGGGUGCGUAACGCGUAUGCAAUCUACCUUUCACAGAGGGAUAGCCCAGAGAAAUUUGGAUUAAUACCUCAUAGCAUAAUGAGUUGGCAUCAACACAUUAUUAAAGUCACAACGGUGAAAGAUGAGCAUGCGUCCCAUUAGCUAGUUGGUAAGGUAACGGCUUACCAAGGCUACGAUGGGUAGGGGUCCUGAGAGGGAGAUCCCCCACACUGGUACUGAGACACGGACCAGACUCCUACGGGAGGCAGCAGUGAGGAAUAUUGGUCAAUGGGCGCAAGCCUGAACCAGCCAUGCCGCGUGCAGGAUGACGGUCCUAUGGAUUGUAAACUGCUUUUGUACGGGAAGAAACACUCCGACGUGUCGGAGCUUGACGGUACCGUAAGAAUAAGGAUCGGCUAACUCCGUGCCAGCAGCCGCGGUAAUACGGAGGAUCCAAGCGUUAUCCGGAAUCAUUGGGUUUAAAGGGUCCGUAGGCGGUUUAGUAAGUCAGUGGUGAAAGCCCAUCGCUCAACGGUGGAACGGCCAUUGAUACUGCUAGACUUGAAUUAUUGGGAAGUAACUAGAAUAUGUAGUGUAGCGGUGAAAUGCUUAGAGAUUACAUGGAAUACCAAUUGCGAAGGCA
rnacentral:rRNA from 1 species